rnacentral:rRNA from 1 species
CAGAUUGAACGCUGGCGGCAGGCCUAACACAUGCAAGUCGAGCGGUAGCACAGAGAGCUUGCUCUCGGGUGACGAGCGGCGGACGGGUGAGUAAUGUCUGGGAAACUGCCUGAUGGAGGGGGAUAACUACUGGAAACGGUAGCUAAUACCGCAUAACGUCGCAAGACCAAAGUGGGGGACCUUCGGGCCUCAUGCCAUCAGAUGUGCCCAGAUGGGAUUAGCUAGUAGGUGGGGUAACGGCUCACCUAGGCGACGAUCCCUAGCUGGUCUGAGAGGAUGACCAGCCACACUGGAACUGAGACACGGUCCAGACUCCUACGGGAGGCAGCAGUGGGGAAUAUUGCACAAUGGGCGCAAGCCUGAUGCAGCCAUGCCGCGUGUGUGAAGAAGGCCUUCGGGUUGUAAAGCACUUUCAGCGGGGAGGAAGGCGAUAAGGUUAAUAACCUUGUCGAUUGACGUUACCCGCAGAAGAAGCACCGGCUAACUCCGUGCCAGCAGCCGCGGUAAUACGGAGGGUGCAAGCGUUAAUCGGAAUUACUGGGCGUAAAGCGCACGCAGGCGGUCUGUCAAGUCGGAUGUGAAAUCCCCGGGCUCAACCUGGGAACUGCAUUCGAAACUGGCAGGCUAGAGUCUUGUAGAGGGGGGUAGAAUUCCAGGUGUAGCGGUGAAAUGCGUAGAGAUCUGGAGGAAUACCGGUGGCGAAGGCGGCCCCCUGGACAAAGACUGACGCUCAGGUGCGAAAGCGUGGGGAGCAAACAGGAUUAGAUACCCUGGUAGUCCACGCCGUAAACGAUGUCGAUUUGGAGGUUGUGCCCUUGAGGCGUGGCUUCCGGAGCUAACGCGUUAAAUCGACCGCCUGGGGAGUACGGCCGCAAGGUUAAAACUCAAAUGAAUUGACGGGGGCCCGCACAAGCGGUGGAGCAUGUGGUUUAAUUCGAUGCAACGCGAAGAACCUUACCUGGUCUUGACAUCCACAGAACUUAGCAGAGAUGCUUUGGUGCCUUCGGGAACUGUGAGACAGGUGCUGCAUGGCUGUCGUCAGCUCGUGUUGUGAAAUGUUGGGUUAAGUCCCGCAACGAGCGCAACCCUUAUCCUUUGUUGCCAGCGGUUAGGCCGGGAACUCAAAGGAGACUGCCAGUGAUAAACUGGAGGAAGGUGGGGAUGACGUCAAGUCAUCAUGGCCCUUACGACCAGGGCUACACACGUGCUACAAUGGCAUAUACAAAGAGAAGCGACCUCGCGAGAGCAAGCGGACCUCAUAAAGUAUGUCGUAGUCCGGAUUGGAGUCUGCAACUCGACUCCAUGAAGUCGGAAUCGCUAGUAAUCGUAGAUCAGAAUGCUACGGUGAAUACGUUCCCGGGCCUUGUACACACCGCCCUCACACCAUGGGAGUGGGUUGCAAAAGAAGUAGGUA